UACCAGCACCCCGAGUGGUCGGGACGUUUAUUGGGCCUAAAGCAUCCGUAGCCGGUUCUACAAGUCUUCCGUUAAAUCCACCUGCUUAACAGAUGGGCUGCGGAAGAUACUAUGGAGCUAGGAGGCGGGAGAGGCAAGCGGUACUCGAUGGGUAGGGUAAAAUCCGUUGAUCCAUUGAAGACCACCAGUGGCGAAGGCGGCUUGCCAGAACGCGCUCGACGGUGAGGGAUGAAAGCUGGGGGAGCAA
rnacentral:rRNA from 1 species